GCACUGCUGAGGAGUCCCAUAAUAGGACGAAACGGCCGCCCAGUGU
rfam:Schistosoma mansoni strain Puerto Rico chromosome 4, complete genome